rnacentral:rRNA from 1 species
UCCCAAACCCCAAUGUGAACGUUACCAAACUGUUGCCUCGGCGGGUCUCGAGACGCCCGCGUCUCCGCCCCGGGCGCGUCGCAGCCCCGGACCAAGGCGCCCGCCGGAGGACCAACUUACAAACUCUUUGCAUGAGUCCCCUCGCGGAUUCUCUUUAUUUUUAGCUUCUGAGCUUUCUCGGCGCCCCCUAGCGGGCGUUUCGAAAAUGAAUCAAAACUUUCAACAACGGAUCUCUUGGUUCUGGCAUCGAUGAAGAACGCAGCGAAAUGCGAUAAGUAAUGUGAAUUGCAGAAUUCAGUGAAUCAUCGAAUCUUUGAACGCACAUUGCGCCCGCCAGUAUUCUGGCGGGCAUGCCUGUCCGAGCGUCAUUUCAACCCUCGAGCCCCUCCGGGGGGUCGGCGUUGGGGAUCGGCCUCCCGCCCAGCGGUUUGCCGGCCCCGAAAUGCAGUGGCGGUCUCGCCGCAGCCUCUCCUGCGCAGUAGUUUGCACACUCGCAACGGGAGCGCGGCGCGCCCACGGCCGUAAAACAACCCAAACUUCUGAAAGGUUGACCUCGGAUCAGGUAGGAAUACCCGCUGAACUUAAGCAUAUCAAUAAGCG